rnacentral:misc_RNA from 1 species
CAAGUUUUUAAUGGUACUACUAGAAUGCAAGAAAUGAUAUGUGAUGAUGAAUUAAGGCCUAAUUUGUCUCUAAUUGCAUAGAUGAUGGUCUCUUCUGUGAACUUGGGCCUGAACAGCUGUCCUCAUCACAUCCAUCGUGAAUUUUCCAAUUUUUGCCAUUUUGUGAGUUGAAAUGGGCCUGAAAUUCUCAAAGUUGCAUGGUACUGUUGCCUAUCAAGUUGUAGAAACCAGUCAGAUGUUAAAGCUUGUUGCAUUUUUCAGCAGCUCAGCCACCAUCCAUCGUUAUAGUGAUUGCUGGAGGAAUUAGCUUGGAGUGGACAGUGGUGACUGGAUUAUAGGUGGAUGCAACUUUUCCUUAGCAUGGGCAUAAUUGGAUUAAUUCUUUUUCCGAUGCCAACUGAUAUGGCUCAGUGACUUCAUAAUAUUUGCUUGAAAGAUUCUGCGGCUCUACAAUGCAAAUUGCAUGAAUGAAGGUGGAUGCUCUCUCUCUCUCUUUCAAGGGAUAUUUCCCUCUUAAUGUUUGUAUUUGUCUAUUAUCAUCACUAUAAGCAGCUCUUUUCUGUAAGCUCUUCUGCUGACUUUUUGGUCCUUUUAAACACUGAUGAUGCGAUUUGGUGUAAUUUUGUCUUUUCAGUGAGACGAUUGCGUCUUCGUAUCCUCCCUUUUUUCAAUGAAUCUAUCCCUUCAUAACAGAAGGCAAGAUAAAACAUUUAACAAUGUUUUGCUGUUACAAUUUUCUGGUAAUGGGUUGAGCUUGAG